rnacentral:tRNA from 1 species
GCAACUUUAGCUCAGUUGGGAGAGCGUCAGACUGAAGUCCACUUCAGCUCAAACUGGAUCACUGCUUCGUGAUAUCUGAAGGUCACCCGUUCGAUCCGGGUAAGUUGCA